rnacentral:rRNA from 1 species
UUUAUGGAGAGUUUGAUCCUGGCUCAGGAUGAACGCUGGCGGCGUGCCUAAUACAUGCAAGUCGAGCGAACAGACGAGGAGCUUGCUCCUUCGACGUUAGCGGCGGACGGGUGAGUAACACGUAGGUAACCUACCUAUAAGACUGGGAUAACUUCGGGAAACCGGAGCUAAUACCGGAUAAUAUUUCGAACCGCAUGGUUCGAUAGUGAAAGAUGGCUUUGCUAUCACUUAUAGA